rnacentral:pre_miRNA from 1 species
UCUUAUGGAUGAACAAAAAAGUAGUUUCUUGAGAUGAAAUCUACCCUUGAUGAAGGUGCUAUGAA